rnacentral:tRNA from 1 species
GGGGAUAUUGCUCAGUGGUAGAGUGCUUGCCUAGAGUGCAUGACAUCCUGGGUUUGAUCCCCAGCCCUA